CACAGUAGUCCGAACUUUCUUAUGUUGUUACGUUUUGUUCAUUAAAUAACUAAUUGUCGGAUUCGCAUUUUACCGUCAAUUAGCAUUCACUGUUCUUUUUGGUACGUACCAAGCAGUGUAAGACAAGGAACAGAGAUUUCAGAGAGUGCUCAACCACAUUGCUCUACUGUAAAAUGGCCAGAUACUGCUUUGAUUUCCCAUGCCAGUAUUUCUCUACUAAAACAUCCUUAUCUGAAUGGUUGUCGUGAAUUUGAAAAGAUUCUCAUUGUGGCCAGCCAUCCCAGAUGUAAGAAAGGUUGGCAGCAAAAUUGUCAAUUUUCAUGAUUUGUCAAUCACAUUCCAAGUUGAGGUGGGGGUAUGCUUCUUAUUAAAUUUAUCUUGAAUUAAGGAUGAGUGAAAUGAUUGCCUAAUUACAAAUGACAGCUUGUCUGCAAGUUUAUUUUAAAGUAACACUCACAUACACAACACAACCAAUAUUAUCCUUAUUUGUUCU